rnacentral:misc_RNA from 1 species
GGGUAAGACCUAUGUGGUCCAAGAUGGUGAUAUUAUAUUCUUCAAGUUCAAUGUCUCUGGGGGUGGGAAGAAGUGAGGUGGUGGUGGAUCUGCACGGAACUUAUGAAGCUGCAUCAAUUCGUUGGCGAGUUAAAAGAUGAUAUAGUUUUGCCUCAUUAUUAGGUUGCAGAUAAAGUUUAUCUUGUAUGCGAGGUUUCUGCAAAAUUUAUGACAUGUUUCAUAGUCUUUAUCUGCAUUUGUAGCUUGAUGGAUAUUCGAGUCAUUUUUGUCUUCUGUUUUUGUACUCCUUUCAGUGAGGCUGAUGCCAAAUUCAAUUUAUAAGUUAUUGGCUGGCAUUAGCAUUUGAUGUUAUGUAGUAAUUGAAGAAACAAUCUGGAGAAUUGCUGAUAGAUUUAAAUCGCACAAGAUAUACGUG